CCCGCCCCUCCCCCGCGCGUCGGCCCUGCCGAGCCGGCCGGCCGGCCUGGCUCCCCUCCCCGGCCCCGACGGGCGGGCGGACUGCCCUGAGGAGGCGGGGAGGGGAGGGCUGGGCCGGCCGGCGGGCGGGCGACGAUGCCGAACUUCUGCGCUGCCCCCAACUGCACGCGGAAGAGCACGCAGUCCGACUUGGCCUUCUUCAGGUUCCCGCGGGACCCUGCCAGAUGCCAGAAGUGGGUGGAGAACUGUAGGAGAGCAGACUUAGAAGAUAAAACACCUGAUCAGCUAAAUAAACAUUAUCGAUUAUGUGCCAAACAUUUUGAGACCUCUAUGAUCUGUAGAACUAUACAUUUUGCAGAGGCAUCAGAAAACUAAAGAAUGAUUGGGUUAUUUUAUUUCUCAAAAUUAAUUGAAGCAGAUACUUGUGAAGUCAUUGGGAGAGUCCUUAUAGGACAGUUCUUCGAGAUAAUGCAAUACCAACAAUAUUUGAUCUUACCAGUCAUUUGAACAACCCACAUAGUAGACACAGAAAACGAAUAAAAGAACUGAGUGAAGAUGAAAUCAGGACACUGAAACAGAAAAAAAUUGAUGAAACUUCUGAGCAGGAACAAAAACAUAAAGAAACCAACAAUAGCAAUGCUCAGAACCCCAGCGAAGAAGAGGGUGAAGGGCAAGAUGAGGACAUUUUACCUCUAACCCUUGAAGAGAAGGAAAACAAAGAAUACCUAAAAUCUCUAUUUGAAAUCUUGAUUCUGAUGGGAAAGCAAAACAUACCUCUGGAUGGACAUGAGGCUGAUGAAAUCCCAGAAGGUCUCUUUACUCCAGAUAACUUUCAGGCACUGCUGGAGUGUCGGAUAAAUUCUGGUGAAGAGGUUCUGAGAA
rnacentral:lncRNA from 1 species